ACCAAGAUGCAUGUACAGCUCCGAGACGACCACCAAAUUCGUGUUUCGUAUGUGCUGAGGUUGGGCAUACUCGCCAUAAUUGCCCUCGUCGUGGUGGAUCAAAUAAUUCAAAGGUGGCAGCUGCAGUUGGAGAUGAUGAGGAACUCGAACGAUGCCAGUUAGCUGAACGUUUAGCUCCUAAUAAUUUGUCCUAUCAGUUUCAUUAGAAGACCAUGUGUGCCCGCAACGGUUGAAGUAAAUGUUGAUUGGAAACUAUCGUGCUACCGUGGAAUGGGUAAUAGCGAUUGAAUGUAUUUGAUUCUGAGGCUGUGGUGCCGUUGUUGGUGGGGCGUGAUCUUUUGGGAAGGAUGGGAGUUGGUUUGUGUCAGAUAGAGACAAUUAGAUAUAAGAAAUAUGAUCUGUUGAAAAUGAAUGAUCAAAAUAAAAUUUCUAUAGCGGACAAUGUCAUAAGUGCCCUUCGACUUUUUGAUAUAUGUAAAUAUCCGUCAAGUAAU
rnacentral:lncRNA from 1 species